UGGUCGGGCUGGGAUCGGAGUCGUCGACAUAUUUUCAUGCCUUUGAUAACUUUCAUUCCCUGGAUACGUAAAAUCUUGUUUUUCCAGUAGAAGAUUAAGCAGUUAAAUGUACAAUUCAUUGUGGCUAUAGUGUGAGCCCAGCGCCCUACAAGGCUUGAAUUAUCUAAAGUAAAUGCUUUAUCUUUGGAGGUUAUUCUUAGCCCAACGUAGACGAAUGCUGGAAUGGACAGAACCACAAAACACGCGACUGCUAGUAAGCAACUUGAUAUAUUUUUCAAAGAAAACGUGUUUUUCAUCGAUCUGGAUUCGUUUUCCGUUGUUUCUACGACUUUUCCUGGCGAUUGUGAAUAACUUGUAGUUGAUGAACAACAUUGGAGGAGAUAGAAUAAUAAAGCAAAUUAGUAAAAGAACUGUGGGGGAAUUUACGAAGUUGUUUACAGAUAAAAACACCAACGUGACUUCGAUUAUACUUAGUAUCGCAAGGAGAGUUAAAAGUCUUUCCUUUGUCACCGAUGUUCGAUGAAAGAUAGGAUAAUAUGUCGCCAAAUAUCGAUCAAAAUUCAUGACCAAAAGAGCGAGUAAAGAAAAACCAACGAAAAUAUUUGACAAGCUUAAGGAAAUAUACAUCCAGUUCGGGUAUACAUUAAACUCUUCAGUCAACCAUGACAUUGCGAAAAGAGCCAACAAUGGAUGAUUAACUAUAGCUAAAACCGCAAGCAAAUCGCAACAG